UGGCGAUGAUGAUAACAUAUUAUCCCAGCUCAUUAUGAGACCUUUUGUGGUCAAGGAAAAUAACUGUUUUCUAUAACGUAUCUGAGCCA
rnacentral:snoRNA from 1 species